GGGGGAUAACCAUUGGAAACGAUGGCUAAUACCGCAUAAUGCCUACGGGCCAAAGAGGGGGACCUUCGGGCCUCUCGCGUCAGGAUAUGCCUAGGUGGGAUUAGCUAGUUGGUGAGGUAAUGGCUCACCAAGGCGACGAUCCCUAGCUGGUCUGAGAGGAUGAUCAGCCACACUGGAACUGAGACACGGUCCAGACUCCUACGGGAGGCAGCAGUGGGGAAUAUUGCACAAUGGGCGCAAGCCUGAUGCAGCCAUGCCGCGUGUGUGAAGAAGGCCUUCGGGUUGUAAAGCACUUUCAGUCGUGAGGAAGGUGGUGUAGUUAAUAGCUCUAUCAUUUGACGUUAGCGACAGAAGAAGCACCGGCUAACUCCGUGCCAGCAGCCGCGGUAAUACGGAGGGUGCGAGCGUUAAUCGGAAUUACUGGGCGUAAAGCGCAUGCAGGUGGUUUGUUAAGUCAGAUGUGAAAGCCCGGGGCUCAACCUCGGAAUAGCAUUUGAAACUGGCAGACUAGAGUACUGUAGAGGGGGGUAGAAUUUCAGGUGUAGCGGUGAAAUGCGUAGAGAUCUGAAGGAAUACCGGUGGCGAAGGCGGCCCCCUGGACAGAUACUGACACUCAGAUGCGAAAGCGUGGGGAGCAAACAGGAUUAGAUACCCUGGUAGUCCACGCCGUAAACGAUGUCUACUUGGAGGUUGUGGCCUUGAGCCGUGGCUUUCGGAGCUAACGCGUUAAGUAGACCGCCUGGGGAGUACGGUCGCAAGAUUAAAACUCAAAUGAAUUGACGGGGGCCCGCACAAGCGGUGGAGCAUGUGGUUUAAUUCGAUGCAACGCGAAGAACCUUACCUACUCUUGACAUCCAGAGAACUUUCCAGAGAUGGAUUGGUGCCUUCGGGAACUCUGAGACAGGUGCUGCAUGGCUGUCGUCAGCUCGUGUUGUGAAAUGUUGGGUUAAGUCCCGCAACGAGCGCAACCCUUAUCCUUGUUUGCCAGCGAGUAAUGUCGGGAACUCCAGGGAGACUGCCGGUGAUAAACCGGAGGAAGGUGGGGACGACGUCAAGUCAUCAUGGCCCUUACGAGUAGGGCUACACACGUGCUACAAUGGCGCAUACAGAGGGCAGCAAGCUAGCGAUAGUGAGCGAAUCCCAAAAAGUGCGUCGUAGUCCGGAUUGGAGUCUGCAACUCGACUCCAUGAAGUCGGAAUCGCUAGUAAUCGUGGAUCAGAAUGCCACGGUGAAUACGUUCCCGGGCCUUGU
rnacentral:rRNA from 1 species